ensembl:ncRNA F46F6.7 ncRNA
CGAAAAUUUGACUUUCAAAUUUUAUUAAACUAGAGCAUCCAGAAAUGCUCUGUGAAGACGAAUAAGGGAAAGAAGAGAUACAAUCUCUUCCUUUUCCUUUAACUCUGUUUGUCGGUCGUCGGAAACGAAGCCGCUGACCAGUUUUCGGAGAAUAAAAAGGAAGACGAUGUUUCCACGGAUAUAAUAGAUUGACAAGGACACCGCGGGUGCAU